UGGCAUCGAUUAAAAUUGAAAGAUUUAUUGGAUAAGGAUAGGCAUGCGUCAGAUUAGUUAGUUGGUAGUGUAACGGACUACCAAGGCGAUGAUCUGUAGGGGGCCUGAGAGGGUGAACCCCCACACUGGUACUGAGACACGGACCAGACUCCUACGGGAGGCAGCAGUGAGGAAUAUUGGACAAUGGAGGGAACUCUGAUCCAGCCAUCCCGCGUGCAGGAAGACGGCCCUAUGGGUUGUAAACUGCUUUUGUAUGGGGAUAAAUCUACUUACGUGUAGGUAGUUGAAGGUACCAUACGAAUAAGCAUCGGCUAACUCCGUGCCAGCAGCCGCGGUAAUACGGAGGAUGCAAGCGUUAUCCGGAUUCAUUGGGUUUAAAGGGUCCGUAGGCGGGCUGAUAAGUCAGUGGUGAAAUUUUGUCGCUCAACGAUAAAACUGCCAUUGAUACUGUUAGUCUUGAGUGAUAUUGAAGUAGCUGGAAUGUGUAGUGUAGCGGUGAAAUGCAUAGAUAUUACACAGAACACCGAUUGCGAAGGCAGGUUACUAAGUAUUAACUGACGCUGAAGGACGAAAGCGUGGGGAGCGAACAGGAUUAGAUACC
rnacentral:rRNA from 1 species